CUACUGUUAAGACUGUAAUCGAUUUUCUGUUGAAAAAUGAUUGUGUUCAACAUUUUCAUUACAGUUACUCUAAUCUUUCUUUUAAAUUAUUGCUGGAAAAGGCGAAAUUGGUAUCGUGCAUCCUGGAAUCUACCCGGCGUCUGGCCAUUGCCCAUAAUUGGUGGAGCGUACAUAUUUCGGAACACAACAGAUGUCAUGGCAAGAAUUUCGGAUUAUUUGAAGUCAUAUAAAGCUACAACGCCAGUGGGCUUUUGGCUAGGUUCACAGUUCGUUAUCCUCAUUAAGGAUCCACAAGAUGCUGAAAUCGUUAUCAAUCACCCCAGUUCUAUGCAUAAGGGCGCUCUUUAUCAAGUUGCUAUUGAUACGAUGGGUGCUCCAGGACUGCUUACUGCUUCUGGCGAUUAUUGGAAAUAUCACAGAAAACUUCUCGAUCCAACGAUUCAAAAUACCAAGAUUCUGAACAGCUAUUAUCCCACCAUAAACAGCACUUUAAGGAUUUUGGUGGACAUUUUGAACGAAAGGAAUCCAAAGGAAACUUUUGAUAUUUUUCCACGUAUCGAUGCUUGCAGUUUCGACCUGUUUGCUAAAAGCACAUUGGGAGUCGAUUGCAACGUUCAGAGGGAGCAUUGUUCAUUUUUUGAAUCACUCAAUGAAGGUUUAUUCGUGUUACGUAAAAGAGUGUUCGAGCCGAUCUAUAACAUAAAACCAAUAUUUAGAUUAUCCAAAUUAUAUCCGAUGGCGAAAAGAGCGACAGCAGAUAUGCGAGCCGUCGUUCAAGACAUUAUUCGAAAAAGAAUGGUCGCGCUCGCUGGUAGCGAUCAGAGCCAUCGAGAGGAAGACGAAUAUGAAAAACGCUUAAGAAUCUUUGUCGAUGAAGCCAUUCAGUUGACGACCGAACAGAAAUGCUUUACAGAAGAUGAGUUGAUAACCGAAUCGUUGACUAUAUUAAUGACGGGAUUCGAAACGUCAGCAGUUUCUAUUACGAACACUGUUCUUAUGCUCGCAAUGCAUCCACAAUAUCAGGAGAAGGUCUACGAGGAAAUUCAAAAAAUUUGCCCAAACAUCGAUGAAGAUGUAACAUCAGAACAGUUAAAGGAACUGUUAUUUACAGAACAAUGUAUUAAGGAGUCGAUGAGAUUAAUCCCAACGGUGCCGCUCACAUCUCGUUUAGCUACGGAUGAUUUUUAUAUCGGUGAAACUUAUGUGCCAGCUGGAUGUGAUGUCGUUCUUUCUGCAUAUGAGUUGCAUCGAGAUAAAAGUGUUUGGGGAAACGAUGCCAAUACAUACAAUCCCGACCGUUUCUUACCGGAAAGAUUUGAAAAACAACAUCCAUACUCAUACAUACCAUACAGUGCCGGCCUCAGAAAUUGCAUAGGCAAGAAGUACGCUCAAAUCGUUAUUCGUAUGUUUAUCGUAUGGCUGGUGCGAAAUUUUAAAUUUACCACUGACCUGAAAUUCGAGGAGUUAUCACUUAAGUGGAUGGUCGUGUUGAGAACGAACCAAGGCUAUCCAGUCAGAAUUGAAAAACGAUUGGAAAUAUAAAAUUGUUUGUUCCGCUCCGAUGUAAUAUUACAAAAAAAAAAGUUCUAGUUUCUUUCCACGGAGUUGCAUUACGUUUUCUGAGUUUCGAAAUCUUCUCUACUAACUGCAACCUCGGAAAAUGUGCUAUUGCUCUAUUGCUGAGCUUUAUAUUGUGCCUAAUAUCAAGCCUAAUAUUGUGUUAAAAACAUUUGUAUAUUUGACAAUAACUGAUAGAAGAUGCUUCGAAGUUACCGCCAGACAAACUGUGCUAGCUAUCGUAAUUUUAGUUUACACAUCUGCUCUUCAAAGAUUUGAUUAGACAAAACCGUCUAAACACCUUCUGCUUGCAGAGAAGUUUGUUCAUUUAAAACUUAAAAUUCAUGUGUUUUAUUAAAACAAUGAAUGUGCCACGUCCUACUUGGAAAAACAUUUCGUUUUCUUAUUUUAUUGUUAUAUAAGGUUCGGUAAAUAUUGAACAGUCUGGCUACCAGAAUUUUUUUUCCGACGUCGCGUCGCAGCCUUGAAUUACUUCAUUUUAUAAUAAAAAUAUCCACGUACCAGUUUUAGUUUUAUGUAUCGUAUGUUCAUCAGAUGUUAAAUAGACCUAAUUACACUGAGUCGAAAUUUUCCCUUCGUUUUUCGUAAUAUAUUUAUAAUUAAGGGGCAUCCGUGAAACAUGUCAAAACUUGAGGGAGAGGGAAGUUUUUUUUCGAAAAGACGACCAAAAACAACAGGGACUAAUUUUUCGCUAAUUUUUACAACAAUUUACCUAUGGUUCAGGCUUAAAGCUUUUAACACAUAGAAAUCGAAAAAACCAGUCUGCUUGGUCCAGUCUAAUCGAAACUUAGUAAAGAAAAUAUUUUUCCUUUGACACGACAUCAUACUUCGAAGUAACUUGAUACUGUUGAGACUGUCAUCGAUUUUUUGUGGAAAGAUGAUUGUGUUCAACAUUUUCAUUACUGUGGUUCUGAUUUUUCUUCUAAAUUAUUGCUGGAAAAGGCGAAAUUGGUAUCGCGCUUCUUGGAAUCUACCCGGUAUCUUGUCAUUGCCCAUAAUUGGUGGAGCAUACAUAUUUUGGAACACAACAGAUGUCUUGGCGAGAACGUCGAAGUACCUGGAGAAAGUUAAGGUUCAUUUUUAGCCCCGUACGAAGUACUGGGGGCUUAUAAGAUUAAUAUGCCGUUUGUAACACGUCGA